rnacentral:rRNA from 1 species
GAUUCGAUUAGGCGCAGAGCAGUCGGUUUCGAACGGCGAACUCACGACCUCUUUUUCUCGUUUGCGCUACGCAGCGACCCGGCAUAGGGGGAGGGAAGGAGGCCGCCGCAAGCGCAGGCGCUGAGAGCCUGAGCCGCAGCCCGGAGGAGUUCGGGCUUGGGACCGAAGGCGACGGUGGGGGGGAGGAGAGCCGGUGACGAGAGGCGGUACGGGGGCGGCGGGGGCGGCGGCGGCGUCGGACACGAGGAGGAGGCGCCGUCGCAGCCGACGAUGCUGCCGUGACCGCCAUCUCCUCCGCGCCGCGCCCGCCUUCGUCGACCCGUACCUGGGCGGCGAGAUGCUGAUGGAGGAGAGGUUGCAGGCGCUCGUGGGGCACGAAGCCCUAGACGCCCUUCUCUGCCGUAGGUACUCCCCCUCGGUCUACGUCCAAAGAGGCCGUGUCCGAGUCGAAGACCGUUACGAACACGUUUAAGAACCCCGUCUUGCUACAUAACUUCAACCGCAGAUAUGACCUAUAAGCAGUGAUCGACAGCGUAAUCGUGAAGGACUUAGUCCAGCAAACCAACGAACACUUUCCCUACUUUCCACAGAUCUUCAACGGUUCUCUAUGAUAGUCGAACGACCCCAACGUGUGUUCCACCUACAGUUCGUACGAAAUCGACAUCUAAGGGAUUCCAGUAACGAGCUGACACCACUUCGAAGGUCAAUACUGAAACGCAAGCAACUGCGUCUGUUCUCUUACAUGCUCCUUAUAAAACUCGAAGAUGAAUUCGAUCAUUCUCAACCACCAAAUUAACAUUACCUGUUACAGGACACCAUACCUUCCCAACGACUAGGCGAUCACUUACUGGGUUUCUGAUAGUCAUAUUCCCUAAAGUUAUUCUUUGAAAACCUCCUAUUUGCACAGUGAUAGUCGUACCACGGUUAACCCCUGCCCUACUGUUAAACAGCUUUCGAUCUUCUACUGACUGAAACGUUGUAUGACACAUGAGGUAUCUACAACAUUUGAAGGGAACGGUUCCAGUUCGAGAACUUUCAGUUUGACGAAAAUCCGUUAGUCCGUUUUACUACCGUCGUAAAAAACCGUAUUUUUCCUACUGUCGAAACCUACAUCUCAUGAUUAGUGGUACCUCUGUACCUAUUCUAUUCUCAAAGGAGUCUAGUAGAUAGCGGUGUAGUCUUUACUUUUUUGUGUGGACAUGCGGACUCAGUUACCUCAGCGAGUCGUCGAUGAUUAUGUUAGUGCGUCGUCCGCAUAGUGGUACCAGAACUCAAUUACCUGAGUAGUAUAGAGACAGCGUAAUACGUAAAAGAAAACAAAGAAGACCUCCUCCGCUGUCGUACGGACCAUGUUCGGUCGUCUACCGUAUACGAGAGUGUUGCGUACAACUGUCAAACAAACGGCUAACGCUGUUCUAGAAGGUCUUGACUACUCUGCCACCCGUAACUUCCUCUUUUUAUUACGACUAUGUUACCAAUCGACGUUCUUGUUCAACCUGGAGCCAGUAGUGGGAAACCCCGUACGUACCCUGCUAGAUACUAUUGGUGAGAACAGUUACUGUAGACACUUCUACUCUCGUAUUUCUGAACUGACGAAACUAACAGUAUAAACCUAGUGUCACAGUGUCUUCAACCUACACAUACGCUAGUAUUCCCUUC